rnacentral:rRNA from 1 species
UACAGAGGUGGCAAGCGUUGUUCGGAAUUACUGGGCGUAAAGGGCGCGUAGGCGGUCUUUUAAGUCUUGUGUGAAAUCCUGGAGCUCAACUCCAGAACUGCCUUCGAUACUGCGGGUCUCGAGUCCGGGAGAGGUGAGUGGAAUUCCGAGUGUAGAGGUGAAAUGCGCAGAUAUCGGGAGGAACACCAGUAGCGAAGGCGGCUCGCUGGGCCACUCCUGACGCUGAGGCGCGAAAGCUAGGGGAGCAAACAGG